AGGACGAACGCUGGCGGCGUGCUUAACACAUGCAAGUCGAGCGGAAAGGCCCUUCGGGGUACUCGAGCGGCGAACGGGUGAGUAACACGUGAGUAAUCUGCCCCUAGCUCUGGGAUAGCUCCGGGAAACCGGGAUUAAUACCAGAUACGACCACUUUAGACAUCUUCUGUGGUGGAAAGAACUUCGGCUAGGGAUGAACUCGCGGCCUAUCAGCUUGUUGGUGAGGUAACGGCUCACCAAGGCGACGACGGGUAGCCGGCCUGAGAGGGCGACCGGCCACACUGGGACUGAGACACGGCCCAGACUCCUACGGGAGGCAGCAGUGGGGAAUAUUGCGCAAUGGGCGAAAGCCUGACGCAGCGACGCCGCGUGGGGGAUGAAGGCCUUCGGUUGUAACCCCUUUCAGCAGGACGAAGCGAAGUGACGGUACCUGCAGAAGAAGCGCCGGCUAACUACGUGCCAGCAGCCGC
rnacentral:rRNA from 1 species